CCUUAGUUACCAGCACGUUAUGGUGGGCACUCUAAGGAGACUGCCGGUGACAAACCGGAGGAAGGUGGGGAUGACGUCAAGUCAUCAUGGCCCUUACGGCCUGGGCUACACACGUGCUACAAUGGUCGGUACAAAGGGUUGCCAAGCCGCGAGGUGGAGCUAAUCCCAUAAAACCGAUCGUAGUCCGGAUCGCAGUCUGCAACUCGACUGCGUGAAGUCGGAAUCGCUAGUAAUCGUGAAUCAGAAUGUCACGGUGAAUACGUUCCCGGGCCUU
rnacentral:rRNA from 1 species